UUUCAGUACUAAUAAACAUAAAAUACCUCUUACUUCAAAAAUAAAAUAAAAUAAAAUAAAAUCAAGUUCGUCUUUUUCAAGUCGAGAAGAGAAACAACCAGAGGAACAAAAAAAAUUCCCAGAUCUAAAUUGCUUAGCUCUUCUCUUUGUCAGAUCUGAAAACUUCCUAUCAAAAUAGAAUUUUCUCCCUAUCUCAGUCAGUUUACAGGGAUCUCUCAAAAUUCCGAUCCAAUAAAUCAUAAUCGUGAACAAAUUAUCCCAUUGAUUCAAUCCGCGCUGGCAAGGAGGUCAUUUCAAGCACAGGUUACUGAAAGGCUGUUUGAUGAGUACACAAUUGAAAUUGUUAUUGAUGGAAAGCUCCUUUGUGGUGUAUUCAAAAGACAUCACCAAGAGGCAAUAGACGUCAAACAGCCAGUCAAUGCUUAUGCAAAGGAUUUCGCAUCACAUGAGAUUGCUCGUGGAAACUGGAAAGGUCUUGGAAAUAUGUUGUUUUGGCAAUAUUAAAAGAGUUGCAAGCUCGUUGCUAAGACCAAAGUUUUAAUAGCUAAAUGGUGUAUUCUAAAUUGUAUAUGUAUUAUUGUCUCUAAGCUUGUUAGGUAAGCGAGUUUGUUCUGGUUAUGUGGGUAGUUUUCAUCUACAUGUAAUGUGUGAUUUUAAAUGUGAAUAAAAGGUUUAUGUUGUUAUAA